AAGACAAAUAAAAAGCAAACGAAAAAAAUGUGAUGAGUCCACAGAACAUUAUAUUACCAAUUAAAAAAUUCCUCGCACAACUAGUCAUAGUUGCACCUCGUCCAUGUUAAAAUUUUCCUAAUCCAUUCAACAUUAGCCGCCUCUCUCUCUCUGCUCUCCCUUCUCUCUAAAACAAAAUUGCUACCGCCGCCUUCUACUGGCGCCGCUGCCACCACCUCCCUCCGUUCUCCUUCUAGCCGCCGUCAAAACCAUCUCCCUUCAUCUCCUCCAUGAACCAAAUUGUUGCAGCCAAUCGCUGCCUUCCACCGGAGAAACAACAGCAGCCUGAAAAGAUGUCAGCGCCGCUGCAUCUUCCCUACCAGCCGACCAGCACGCAUAAGCCCACAACACCCGCUUGCUUUCGUGUUAAUUUUAGAUAGAACCUGAUUAUAGGUGGAUAUAUCAACGAAAUAUUGAUAAUAGAAUGAGUGAGACUGAGAAUGAAGAUGCGGAUGAUGAGUUAUAUUUUUUAGUCUUUUGUAUGUUUUACAGUUUGGAUUUGGAACCUCGAUAAAUUUUGUAAAUAAUUUGAUUUUUAAUGUUAGUAUUCUUAUGGUGGUUGGUUGAUUGUA